rnacentral:rRNA from 1 species
UACAGAGGGGGCAAGCGUUGUUCGGAAUUACUGGGCGUAAAGGGCGCGUAGGCGGCCUUCUAAGUCGAACGUGAAAUCCCACGGCUCAACCGUGGAACUGCUCGGUAUACUGGCGAUCUUGGGCCACUUAGGGGCUAGCGGAACAAACGGUGGAGCGGUGAAAUGCGUAGAUAUCUGGAGGAAUACCGGUGGCGAAGGCGGCAUCCUGGGACCGGCAUUGACGCUGAGGAGCGAAAGCUAGGGGAGCAAACGGG